rnacentral:rRNA from 1 species
UCAAGCGAGUGGCGAACGGGUGAGUAACACGUGGAUAACCUGCCUCAAGGCUGGGGAUAACAUUUGGAAACAGAUGCUAAUACCGAAUAAAACUUAGUAUCGCAUGAUAUCAAGUUAAAAGGCGCUACGGCGUCACCUAGAGAUGGAUCCGCGGUGCAUUAGUUAGUUGGUGGGGUAAAGGCUUACCAAGACAAUGAUGCAUAGCCGAGUUGAGAGACUGAUCGGCCACAUUGGGACUGAGACACGGCCCAAACUCCUACGGGAGGCUGCAGUAGGGAAUCUUCCACAAUGGGCGCAAGCCUGAUGGAGCAACGCCGCGUGUGUGAUGAAGGCUUUCGGGUCGUAAAGCACUGUUGUAUGGGAAGAAAUGCUAAAAUAGGGAAUGAUUUUAGUUUGACGGUACCAUACCAGAAAGGGACGGCUAAAUACGUGCCAGCAGCCGCGGUAAUACGUAUGUCCCGAGCGUUAUCCGGAUUUAUUGGGCGUAAAGCGAGCGCAGACGGUUGAUUAAGUCUGAUGUGAAAGCCCGGAGCUCAACUCCGGAAUGGCAUUGGAAACUGGUUAACUUGAGUGUUGUAGAGGUAAGUGGAACUCCAUGUGUAGCGGUGGAAUGCGUAGAUAUAUGGAAGAACACCAGUGGCGAAGGCGGCUUACUGGACAACAACUGACGUUGAGGCUCGAAAGUGUGGGUAGCAAACAGGAUUAGAUACCCUGGUAGUCCACACCGUAAACGAUGAAUACUAGGUGUUAGGAGGUUUCCGCCUCUUAGUGCCGAAGCUAACGCAUUAAGUAUUCCGCCUGGGGAGUACGACCGCAAGGUUGAAACUCAAAGGAAUUGACGGGGACCCGCACAAGCGGUGGAGCAUGUGGUUUAAUUCGAAGCAACGCGAAGAACCUUACCAGGUCUUGACAUCCUUUGAAGCUUUUAGAGAUAGAAGUGUUCUCUUCGGAGACAAAGUGACAGGUGGUGCAUGGUCGUCGUCAGCUCGUGUCGUGAGAUGUUGGGUUAAGUCCCGCAACGAGCGCAACCCUUAUUGUUAGUUGCCAGCAUUCAGUUGGGCACUCUAGCGAGACUGCCGGUGACAAACCGGAGGAAGGCGGGGACGACGUCAGAUCAUCAUGCCCCUUAUGACCUGGGCUACACACGUGCUACAAUGGCGUAUACAACGAGUUGCCAACCUGCGAAGGUGAGCUAAUCUCUUAAAGUACGUCUCAGUUCGGACUGCAGUCUGCAACUCGACUGCACGAAGUCGGAAUCGCUAGUAAUCGCGGAUCAGCACGCCGCGGUGAAUACGUUCCCGGGUCUUGUACACACCGCCCGUCACACCAUGGGAGUUUGUAAU